UAGGGAAUCUUCGGCAAUGGGGGCAACCCUGACCGAGCAACGCCGCGUGAGUGAAGAAGGUUUUCGGACCGUAAAGCUCUGUUGUAAGUCAAGAACGAGUGUGAGAGUGGAAAGUUCACACUGUGACGGUAGCUUACCAGAAAGGGACGGCUAACUACGUGCCAGCAGCCGCGGUAAUACGUAGGUCCCGAGCGUUGUCCGGAUUUAUUGGGCGUAAAGCGAGCGCAGGCGGUUUGAUAAGUCUGAAGUUAAAGGCUGUGGCUCAACCAUAGUUCGCUUUGGAAACUGUCAAACUUGAGUGCAGAAGGGGAGAGUGGAAUUCCAUGUGUAGCGGUGAAAUGCGUAGAUAUAUGGAGGAACACCGGUGGCGAAAGCGGCUCUCUGGUCUGUAACUGACGCUGAGGCUCGAAAGCGUGGGGAGCGAACAGGAUUAGAUACCCUGGUAGUCCACGCCGUAAACGAUGAGUGCUAGGUGUUGGAUCCUUUCCGGGAUUCAGUGCCGCAGCUAACGCAUUAAGCACUCCGCCUGGGGAGUACGACCGCAAGGUUG
rnacentral:rRNA from 1 species